AGAGUUUGAUCCUGGCUCAGACUGAACGCUGGCGGCAUGCCUUACACAUGCAAGUCGAACGGUAACAGGUCUUCGGAUGCUGACGAGUGGCGAACGGGUGAGUAAUACAUCGGAACGUGCCCGAGAGUGGGGGAUAACGAAGCGAAAGCUUUGCUAAUACCGCAUACGAUCUCAGGAUGAAAGCAGGGGGACCGCAAGGCCUUUGCGCUCACGGAGCGGCCGAUGGCAGAUUAGGUAGUUGGUGGGAUAAAAGCUUACCAAGCCGACGAUCUGUAGCUGGUCUGAGAAGGACGACCAGCCCCACUGGGACUGAGACACGGCCCAGACUUCUACGGGAGGAGCAGUUGGGAAUUUUGGACAAUGGGCGCAAGCCUGAUCCAGCCAUGCCGCGUGCAGGAUGAAGGCCUUCGGGUUGUAAACUGCUUUUGUACGGAACGAAAAGACUCUGGUUAAUACCUGGGGUCCAUGACGGUACCGUAAGAAUAAGCACCGGCCAACUACGUGCCAGCAGCCGCGGUAAUACGUAGGGUGCAAGCGUUAAUCGGAAUUACUGGGCGUAAAGCGUGCGCAGGCGGUUAUGUAAGACAGAUGUGAAAUCCCCGGGCUCAACCUGGGAACUGCAUUUGUGACUGCAUAGCUAGAGUACGGCAGAGGGGGAUGGAAUUCCGCGUGUAGCGGUGAAAUGCGUAGAUAUGCGGAGGAACACCGAUGGCGAAGGCAAUCCCCUGGGCCUGUACUGACGCUCAUGCACGAAAGCGUGGGGAGCAAACCAGGUAUAAAGAAACCCCUGGUAGUCCCACUGCCCCCC
rnacentral:rRNA from 1 species